rfam:Canis lupus familiaris chromosome 6, whole genome shotgun sequence.
GCCUGGGUGGCUCAGUGGUUGAGCGUCUGUCUUUGGCUCAGGGCAUGACCCCGGGGUCCUGGGAUCGAGUCCCACAUCGGGCU